AAUGAAGAAAGCGGCAGAGCAAACCCCAGCUCUGCUGUCAGACAGGUCCAGCAACGCAGGAACAAGGAGCCCGAGGCAGCGCCCGCUCGCCUCCCCUCCUGCCGAGGCACGCACGGAGCCAGCAGCCAGGGCUGCACCGAUCCCUGCGAGCCAGCCAGCGCCGCCCCGAGGGGCUCCUGGGGGUACAAGGACACUGCAGGGCGUGGAAGAAGGCCGUACCCUCUGCGAGCCCUGCAAAGAAGGUACGGCUGCCACCUGGCAAGGAGCUGGGCUCGAGGUGCAGCCGCUCUCCCAAAGCAGGGCAGGUGCCAGCCGUCCCCCAGGGCUCCUGCACGAGCAGGAGUGGCCAGCUUCAAGCUGCUCCUCCAGCCAGGCCAGCAGCUCAGCUCUGAACCCAGAAAAAGGGCCUGUCCACACAGUGCCACAGAUGUCCACAAGACAGCAGAAAAGGUAGAGGACCUUUGCUGCAGCUUGGUUGCUACCAGCGAGCCGCUUCCCUGCCAGGGCAGAGGACCCCGCUCACCGAUCAGAGCAGCAACAGCCAAGUUUCCUCUCAAAGAUGUACUCAGCCCCUUAAUAGAAAAAUUGCUCCAAGAUUUCUCUGUUGCUCAGGGAUGUUCACAGCUGACCUGCUCUUCACACCCACUGACAGGGCGAGAACAUGUCACAGGUGUCCUCAAAAUGGCAUCCAUCUGGGAAAUUGGUGACCUUGCUGCUCUGCCCUGCCAGCAGCCCAAGAAGGAUAUUUCUCAUUCCUGUCCUCGGCAGAGACCUCCCCGGGAUUAUAUUGUACCUAUGUGCCGUGCAUUCCUGUUGCACUGCUAUAAACAUCCCCUUUAUGUAAAUGCACAGCUGGGCAUAGAAGUCUCAACCAUUUUUGCGCAUGGUUUGGCUCUUUCCUCUGCAGUCAGGCAGUGCUGCGGUCAUUCAAACAGAUUUGCUGAUCCUGUUCUGCAAGUGCCCGCACUGAUUUUAAAUCAGGAGCUGAAGCCAGCCCCCCAGGUCAGCUCACAUCUCAGCAGCACAGGAAGCAAAACCACCAGGAGAAGCCCCAGAGACCACACGGUGAUGGGGAGAGGGCAGGGGGUGAGAAGGGAAGGAUCGAUCUGCUCAUACCUUGUGAGAGCGUCUGAAACGGAGAGCCUGAAACAAGGAGAGAAAAGAUGA
rnacentral:lncRNA from 1 species